GUAAUUACAUGACAGGCGAUGACGGAGGAGCGGCCACUGGAGUCAGACCAACCUGCAUUUUGAAAAAUCACUGUGUGGGGUGGCUUUCCAUCAGAAGCCUGCGCUUUGGAGAUCUUUAUUCUUCCAUUUAUUUGCACAGGAAAUCCACUGCUUCUCUGAGAGGGCCAGACGGGUGGUUAUCUUAAGCAGCGCUUCAAGGCACUUAUUGAGGACCCACUAAAGGCCCCACGCCAUAUCCUGUGUGAGGCAUGCUGGAUAGCUUGCCAAUCCAUCUAUGCCAGCACAAUCGGUUUAGAGACUAUGCAGAGCCACUUCUGUCCCUGGGUGGCUUUCCACGUGAUUUAUUUUCUUUAAAAAUAAGUCUUAAAUCAACAACAAUCAGUCACGAAUGCUUGGUAUGGGGCGAUGAGAAGGGUACUUCACCUUUGAAGUUCCAUUUCAAAAACCCACGACCCUCGUCUAACCGGAAGAAAGGAGCCCGUACAGGACAACUUCCUUCAUGCAAACUUCACCAGUGUUCGGCGAGUCACUCAGAAUAAAUAGGGGAGCCUGAAAAACUGUCACAACCCUGAAGGGGCCUUACAAGUCAGUGCAGCAAAGGAACCUGGAUGGGAUCCCAGAAGGACAUUAGGAAAACAAACCAUGGAAGUCUGGGUCAAGGAUGUGCUGUCCAUUCUGUUUCCUCAAGAGGUAGCAACUGUAUGCUCUCAGGCAAGAUAUUAAUAAUAAUAAUAACAGUGGAAGCCAGGCGGUGGUGGCGCACGCCUUUAAUCCCAGCACUCAGAGACAGAG